GCCUGGGUGGCUCAGUCGGUUAAGCGUCCGACUUUGGCUCAGGUCAUGAUCUCGCAGUUCGUGGGUUUGAGCCCCACAUCGGGCU
rnacentral:tRNA from 1 species